rnacentral:rRNA from 1 species
CGCGGCCUAUCAGCUUGUUGGUGGGGUAGUGGCUUACCAAGGCUUUGACGGGUAGCCGGCCUGAGAGGGUGACCGGCCACAUUGGGACUGAGAUACGGCCCAGACUCCUACGGGAGGCAGCAGUGGGGAAUAUUGCACAAUGGGCGGAAGCCUGAUGCAGCAACGCCGCGUGCGGGAUGACGGCCUUCGGGUUGUAAACCGCUUUCGCCUGUGACGAAGCGUGAGUGACGGUAAUGGGUAAAGAAGCACCGGCUAACUACGUGCCAGCAGCCGCGGUGAUACGUAGGGUGCGAGCGUUGUCCGGAUUUAUUGGGCGUAAAGGGCUCGUAGGUGGUUGAUCGCGUCGGAAGUGUAAUCUUGGGGCUUAACCCUGAGCGUGCUUUCGAUACAGGUUGACUUGAGGAAGGUAGGGGAGAAUGGAAUUCCUGGUGGAGCGGUGGAAUGCGCAGAUAUCAGGAGGAACACCAGUGGCGAAGACGGUUCUUUGGGCCUUUCCUGACGCUGAGGAGCGAAAGCGUGGGGAGCGAACAGGCUUAGAUACCCUGGUAGUCCACGCUGUAAACGGUGGGUACUAGGUGUGGGGUCCAUUCCACGGGUUCCGUGCCGUAGCUAACGCUUUAAGUACCCCGCCUGGGGAGUACGG